UACGUAGGGGGCAAGCGUUGUCCGGAAUCAUUGGGCGUAAAGCGCGCGUAGGCGGCCCUGUAAGUCCGUUGUGAAAGUCAAAGGCUCAACCUUUGAAAGCCGAUGGAUACUGCAGGGCUAGAGUCCGGAAGAGGCGAGUGGAAUUCCUGGUGUAGCGGUGGAAUGCGCAGAUAUCAGGAGGAACACCAAUAGCGAAGGCAGCUCGCUGGGACGGUACUGACGCUAAGGCGCGAAAGCGUGGGGAGCGAACGAGGA
rnacentral:rRNA from 1 species